AUAUGGAUUGUGUCAGCAGCCGCGCGGUAAUACGGAGACUGCGAGCGUUACUCGGAUUUACUGGGCGUAAAGGGUCCGUAGGCGGACAUGUGUGUCGGGUGUGAAAUCCUGCAGCUCAGCUGCAGAACUGCGCCCGAAACUACAUGUCUAGAGUAUUGGAGAGGUGAGUGGAAUCCCAGGUGUAGCGGUGAAAUGCGUAGAUAUCUGGAGGAACACCAACGGCGAAGGCAGCUCACUGGACAAUUACUGACGCUGAGGGACGAAAGCAUGGGGAGCGAAAGGGAUUAGAUACCCCUGUAGUCCAUGCCGUAAACGUUGUGCACUCGCUAUUGGCGGCUUCGACCCCGUCAGUGGCUAAGCUAACGCGAUAAGUGCACCGCCUGAGGACUACGGCCGCAAGGCUAAAACUCAAAGGAAUUGACGGGUCCCCGCACAAGCGGUGGAGCAUGUGGCUUAAUUCGAUGCAACGCGAAGAACCUUACCAGGCCUUGACAUGUAGUGGACCGGUGCAGAGAUGCACCUUCUCUUCGGAGCCGCUUCACAGGUGCUGCAUAGCUGUCGUCAGCUCGUGUCGUGAGAUGUUCGGUUAAGUCCGUCAACGAGCGCAACCCCUGUCCUUAGUUGCCAGCAUUCAGUUGGGGACUCUAAGGAGACAAUCCCGCAUCUGCGGGAGGGAAGGUGGGGAUGAUGUCAAGUCAGUAUGGCCCUUACGGCCUGGGCUGCACACGUGCUACAAUGCCCGGUACAGUGGGAUGCUACUCCGCAAGGAGAUGCCAAACCCCAAAGCCGGGCCCAGUUCGGAUUGGAGUCUGCAACUCGACUCCAUGAAGUCGGAAUCGCUAGUAAUGGCUUAUCAGCAACGAAGCCGUGAAUACGUUCCCGGGGAUUGUACACACCGCCCGUCA
rnacentral:rRNA from 1 species